GGAAUUGAGUUGCAGGGCGGGGCAGGGCAGGUUGCUUCAAAGCGCCUACUGCUGCCCUGAGUGGAGAAAGAAUGCAAUUAAUUAAUUACGCUAUCUUUCCCGAGAAGCGGGUAGGCGAGUUGUGGCUCGCGGGAGAUAAAUUCUCAGACUCUUGUAGGCGUUCGUUUCUCCCAUUUCUGGUUUUCAUAUGAAGCUGUCCCAUGUGCGAGUCACCGGACGUCCCUUGUACCGGGCCGUCUCCAUGCAGUUAGACCCAUUGACUUCAGUGGAUUUAGAGGCUACUGAUGAAAGUUAAAGCAGGAAGUGCCAAAACAUGAUUACAGUUGAACAUCAAGAAGAUGAAAGUAAUGACAACUUACACAAUAUUAAGGUUGACGAUAAAGAGACUGAAGUUAUUAAAAGAUUUUCUAUUCCAUGGCUCAGUCAUCAACUGAAAACCAGGCUGCAACUAAGAAAUCAGGAUACUGAAACUGGGAAGAGACUGGGAAGGGCAGCCAUGAAGAAACUAGAAAAAAAUACUUCAAUGUAAGGCUGUGUCGUUGUUGACCAAGAGAUUUCAUACUGUAGUAUUUCUUAUUACUAUUAAAGGGUAUGAAAGCUGGACGAUAAAGAUUACAAGGCGAAAGUUGAUUUAUUGGAAAUAUGGUAUUGGAGGAGAGUUUGAUAAAUACCAUGGACUGCCAAAAAAGGAAAAUAAGUGCAUGCAUGGAUUCCUGCCUGAAUGACUUGAUUAAGUUUUGAAAGUUACUGUGAGAUGGAAUGGGUGGAUCAAGUGGUAUCACCUGCACAUUGUGAGAGCUAAAUGUUGGUGGAUCAGAUCAUAUAGCAAUACUGUAGCAAAGUCUUUUCUGUUAUUGGUCUGAUAAAUAUUUGUCUUACCAUAGUUCAAAAAAUUAAAAUCCUCCAUAUUUGUCAAGUAAAA